UAGAUACCCCACUAUACCUUGCUGUAAACUUUAAAUUACACCCCAAAUCGCCAGGGUACUACGAGCAAAGCUUAAAACCCAAAGGACUUGACGGUGCCCCACAUCCCCCUAGAGGAGCCUGUCCUGUAAUCGAUACUCCCCGUUUAACCUCACCACUUCUAGCUACUCAGCUUGUAUACUUCCGUCGCCAGCUUACCGCAUGAGCGAAAUUCAGUUAGCUAAAUUGGCUGUGUCUACCCACACCUCUAAUACGUCAGGUCAAAGUGCAGCAAAUGAAGUGGAAUCAGAUUGGCUACACUUUUUAACAUAAAAGAUUACGAAAGACAAAAAAAAUGAAACUUUGUCAGAAGGUGGAUUUAGUAGUAAAAAGAGUUCAUUAUACUCAUUUUAAAUAGGCACUGGAGCGCGUACACACCGCCCGUCACCCUCUUCGAUAAAAUUUAUUUUAGUAUAUAACUUGUCACCACAGCUCGAGAAGAGGUAAGUCGUAACAUGGUAAGUAUACCGGAAGGUGUACUUGGAAACAAAACAAUAGCUUAAACAAAGCAUCUUGCUUACACCAAGAAGAUGUCCCUAACAGGACUAUUUUGAACAGCCAAAGAUCUAGCCCCAAACUUCAUCUUAAUAGCCGCAGUAAACUAAAAUAUUCAUUAAAUCUAGUAAAGACGAUUAAAAAAUUAAUUGGAGCAAUAUAUUUGUACCGCAAGGA
rnacentral:rRNA from 1 species